AACGAACGCUGGCGGCAGGCCUAACACAUGCAAGUCGAGCGCGCCCUUCGGGGUGAGCGGCGGACGGGUGAGUAACGCGUGGGAACGUGCCCUUCUCUGCGGAAUAGCCUCGGGAAACUGAGAGUAAUACCGCAUACGCCCUUUGGGGGAAAGAUUUAUCGGAGAAGGAUCGGCCCGCGUUGGAUUAGGUAGUUGGUGGGGUAAUGGCCCACCAAGCCGACGAUCCAUAGCUGGUUUGAGAGGAUGAUCAGCCACACUGGGACUGAGACACGGCCCAGCCUCCCUCGGGAGGGAGGCGUUGGGGAUCUUAGGACAUGGGGGCAACCCUGAUCUAGCCAUGCCGCGUGAGUGAUGAAGGCCUUAGGGUUGUAAAGCUCUUUCAGCUGGGAAGAUAAUGACGGUACCAGCAGAAGAAGCCCCGGCUAACUCCGUG
rnacentral:rRNA from 1 species